rnacentral:rRNA from 1 species
GCUCCAAUAGCGUAUAUUUAAGUUGUUUGCAGUUAAAAAGCUCGUAGUUGGAUUUCGGUUUGAGAGCGGCCGGUCCGCCGUUUGGUGUGCACUGGCUGGUUCAACUUCCUGCGGAGGACGCGCUCUGGGCUUUAACGGUCUGGACGUGGAGUCCGCGUGGUUUACUUUGAAAAAAUUAGAGUGUUCAAAGCGGGCUUACG